rnacentral:rRNA from 1 species
UGGGGAAUUUUGGACAAUGGGGGGCAACCCUGAUCCAGCAAUGCCGCGUGUGUGAAGAAGGCCUUCGGGUUGUAAAGCACUUUUGUCCGGGAAGAAAUCCCCUGCCCUAAUACGGCGGGGGGAUGACGGUACCGGAAGAAUAAGCACCGGCUAACUACGUGCCAGCAGCCGCGGUAAUACGUAGGGUGCGAGCGUUAAUCGGAAUUACUGGGCGUAAAGCGUGCGCAGGCGGUGAUGUAAGACCGAUGUGAAAUCCCCGGGCUCAACCUGGGAACUGCAUUGGUGACUGCAUUGCUCGAGUAUGGCAGAGGGGGGUGGAAUUCCACGUGUAGCAGUGAAAUGCGUAGAGAUGUGGAGGAACACCGAUGGCGAAGGCAGCCCCCUGGGCCAAUACUGACGCUCAUGCACGAAAGCGUGGGGAGCAAACAGGAUUAGAUACCCUGGUAGUCCACGCCCUAAACGAUGUCAACUGGUUGUCGGGCCUUCAUUGGCUUGGUAACGUAGCUAACGCGUGAAGUUGACCGCCUGGGGAGUACGGUCGCAAGAUUAAAACUCAAAUGAAUUGACGGGGUCAUAGCUGUUUCCU